UACGAAGGGGGCUAGCGUUGUUCGGAAUCACUGGGCGUAAAGCGCACGCAGGCGGUCUGAUAAGUCGGGGGUGAAAGCCCAGGGCUCAACCUCGGAAUUGCAUUGGAUACUGUCAGUCUGGUGUCUGGGAGAGGUGAGUGGAAUUCCUAGUGUAGCGGUGAAAUGCGUAGAUAUUAGGAAGAACACCAGUGGCGAAGGCGGCUCUCUGGCCCGGUACUGACGAUCAGGUGCGAAAGCGUGGGGAGCGAACAGG
rnacentral:rRNA from 1 species